CUUAAAAUCUCCCAUUGUUCCUACCUCGUUGCCUUCGCCUUCACCUUCGCCGGCACCGUCAUUGCUUUCUCUAUUCUAUCUCUCUCUCUGAUGUAGGUUCGUGCCUCAAGUUUGGCGCUGCCGCACCUAUGUUGCUGCCGGCGGGCCUGCGCCGUCGCCUUCACGUUCGUAUUCGCCGGCACCGUCCUCAAGUUUAGGAAAUGAACAGUGCACAAUGUUUGAGCUCAAGAAGCUAUUCAAGGUGCUGCCCUUGUCACUAGCAUCAAAAUGAUAAAAUAAUUGAGGGCGAAGUCAUAGAUGUAAGAGUGGAAGUCAUGGUCUAAGAGGAUGUUGGAUGGUUUUGACAUCACUGUGGAUGAACUUUAGGGACUACACUCAUGGAGGUACACUAUGAGGUUGGUGACGGUUCACCAUUUCUCCUUGGUUCAAAUUUGUGCUAGAAAACUCAUCAUUGCUUUGUGGAGCCUUUUAUAAGAUACUUUUGGAAGUGAUUUUAUCAAAAAUGAUGUUGAAGAUUGGUAGUUUUUUAUUUUAUUUUAGUAAAGAAAGGAAUAAAUGUGAAAGUAUGAUGACUCCCA